rnacentral:rRNA from 1 species
CACGGAGUUAGCCGAUGCUUAUUCGUACGGUACCGUCAAGCUUCUACACGUAGAAGUGUUUCUUCCCGUACAAAAGAAGUUUACAACGCGUAGCGCUGUCAUCCUUCACGCGGCAUGGCUGGUUCAGGCUUUCGCCCAUUGACCAAUAUUCCUCACUGCUGCCUCCCGUAGGAGUCUGGUCCGUGUCUCAGUACCAGUGUGGGGGACCAUCCUCUCAGACCCCCUAGACAUCGUGGUCUUGGUGAGCCAUUACCUCACCAACAAACUAAUGUCACGCAUGCCCAUCUCUAACCGCCGGAGCUUUAACUAUAAAAAGAUGCCAGAUCAUAGUAUUAUGGAGUAUUAAUCCGAAUUUCUUCGGGCUAUUCUCCAGUUAGAGGUAGGUUACAAACGCGAUACUCACCCGUGCGCCGGUCGUCGCCUGGCCGAAGCCAUCGUUACCCCUCGACUUGCAUGUGUUAGGCCUGCCGCUAGCGUUCAUCCUGAGCCAGGAUCAAACUCU